AUACAAGUAAUGAUGGAGACAGUAGCUGGGAUAUGUGAUUUUGCAGCGAGUUAGGAAGAGUGUGAGCCUAAUAAAUCAAUCAUAGUGAAUAUCACUCCUGAACUGCAAACUGAAACUUAAUUAAGUUUUGCCGUUUGACGAGCGUUAUUUCGUUUUUGAGUGGCUGUGUAAGCAGUCAUUAGGGUGGUAUCACGGGAAACAACCUCUCGUCCCUUUA
rnacentral:ncRNA from 1 species